GGCCUAUUUGGGAUUAUUUUGAGCAGAAUGAACCGAGAUCAUCAAAUUGAGUCUGCUGCAGUUAAUUCAUGCAGCGUAACAACAAGCUGAAUGGAUCCAACAUGGUGGUGUGAUAACCUGAAGUCAACAGCCAGAUGUUCAGUGAGUCAAAAGAGAACUUUUGAGCUUCCUUUGUUACGUUAUAUUUUAGGUUGGAUACUGUGAUUUGAUGCAAUAUAAUCUUCAGGAAGAUGCCCGGCAGCUCACUUUUAUUUAAUGUUUAAUAUGAUAUUUAAUGUCCUGUACAGUAGUUUUUAACAGUUUAAAUAAAGUGCCAGUUUUGUCUUUAUUGCACCGUCCCCAAGAACUGACAUCUUUCCUGUGCAGUAGGGUUAAAUAUUAAUUUAUGUGACUCAAUUUUUGUCUUCCAUCAUUAAGGUUUUAUUCUUCUCGUCUACAUUAUACAGUGAAGUGUCAAAAGAUUUAAUGAAGUACUGUACCUUUCCUUGUUCUGACUCAUUUCAUUAAUUCAUUUAAAGCAAAUUGCAUUUUAAGCACCAGUGGUAUUUGAAUGUCAGAGGGAUAAUAGAUUUGUUGGAGCAACAUUGAAGUUGUUAGAAUCUCCUUCUUAAGGUCAAACCCUCAUCACAGGUAAAGGUUAGAGAUAUUCCCACCAACCCAUGCCUUGUUUCUUUCUUUCGCACCAAAAUACUCAGCAGCACAACAGUCAUCAACAUUGCAAGGAGGCAAACUUCUCCAGCCUGCUGAUGAAUGUGAUGAACUUGGAGAAGGCUUUUUUACUUUCGCAGGCCCGAGUGUCUAUCCCCUGAAGACAGAAUUGCCGAGACACCACGAAGGCAAUAUUUGGCCCGCUCCAUCACUCUAAUUCACUCCCUGCGCAUCCAUAUUUCAUUUGGCCUCGGCUUUAAUGAAAGUCGUGGCAACUUCUCCACCACUGGAGUCUCUAAGCGCACACAUUGUGAGGGAAAAAAAUCAUAAAUAAGGACAUUGGCCUUCAUACAAAACAAUAUUGUAGGGAAUGAGGCCCUAAAGUUGGGCAGAGAAAGGGGGGUCAGUAUGAUGUAGCUUGGGAGGCCAUCUGCCUGACUAUCUCCUAUCCCAAAACCCCCCCUUCCUCCACUGCACAGACAAGUGCCUGUUUAUCCCAACGCCCUUCAGAAGACAUUUGCACAGGUCUCAUGUGCAAUCCAGUUAUCUUCCACUGGCCUGAAUAUGCUCAGAUUUUAAGUAGGGUUUGCUGUGUUGAGCUGGGCGUCCAUAUCCCCAGGAAGCAAACAUGACAUCCCCACUAAAAGGCUGCUGGGACACUGAGCUUGGCGCUGAGACUGUUACCUGCAUAUGCAUUGGGUUAACACAUCCCCCUUCCUGCCUGAUACAACACCGGCUCAGCAGGGAAAGUACAGCUUCAUAUCCAAUGCAGCUCUUUGGGAUGCUGUUGAUGUGAUAAGAAAACCUUAUUAGCUUAAUAUUGAGCCAUCUCUCUUAAAGAUUAUAUGAGGAAUUUCACUUUUUAUCAUUUAUUUUGGUAGAUUUUGGUGGCCGCUGUAGACUCAAACUCCCACUCUGAUUGUUUUGUUUUACUACUUUAAGUGUUCUCAAUGGUCUUUAAAUUGUGAUUAUGAAGUUUUAGCCAAAAUCAUGUUAACCUGGGUCAUUUUCAAGGGCUUUUCUUCUGCAGAGCUCCAGUAACUCAUUAGCAAUUCACCUCUGAGUCGUGGGUGGAGACAGCGGUGCUCUGCACACUCCCCUUCACAUUACCUUGCGGCCUAACAUUGUCGGUGUAGUAGAAGAAGUAGGUAACAUAGGAGCUAUCCAGCACUUGGACGCUAAUGUCUUUGGGGGUAUGAUGCAAUCCGCUAACGUAUACACUUGUUCCGAGAUUGUCCUCUCUACUUCUCUGAGUCGGGCCUACAUAGCGGGGCUCAGGGGGGCGGAGCUUGGAUUUGUGAUGUAGGAAUUUCACUUUUUAUCAUUUAUUUUGGUAGAUUUUGGUGGCCGCUGUAGACUCAAACUCCCACUCUGAUUGUUUUGUUUUACUACUUUAAGUGUUCUCAGUGGUCUUUACAUUGUGAUUAUGAAGUUUUAGCCAAAAUCAUGUUAACCUGCAAAAGUCUUGUGCUGCGUCCGAACUGCCCGCUCGGAUACUACAUGCUACUGCUACGUGCUACUGCUAGAUCCUACUCCUACAUACUAAAAACGUUGGCCCAAUUCGGACACACUAGACGAGCGGUGGGGAAAGACGACCCCCGCAGGCAGAGAGUAGGUACUGCGCCCGUGCAGACAGUGGUAACUGAAGCCCCUCAUCUGCGGGCCUGGCUGUAGUACUGCAGCUGUGCAGUUUAAUGAUGGAAUAAGUGAGCUUUACCUCCAUGAUGUCGCCACUUGCUCAUAAAAUGAUUACUUGGGCAAAUAUGACACCAUGACAUGACAAAGAGAUACAACCGCACAUUUUUUAGGACAGUGUGUGAAGUUACAUGAAACUUACAUCUGUACUGCCGCGGUCCCGCCUGCUGCUGCUGCUCCGACAUGGUGCGCGCUGCUGUGGCCAGCUGGCGUUCGCGACACUUUUAAAUAGGCAGAGCAGCUGGUGGCGCUAGCAUCACAUGCGCUUCUACAAUUUUUAAGAGGACGAAGAAGAAGCCCGCGGUGCAUUUUGGGUCAGUAGCAUGCCCGUAGGAUGCACCAGAAAAAUGUCAUAUUAACAUGUAAGAAACAAGAAAAUCAUGAUUUUCAUCAGAGUGGGUAUUUUAGAAAUGCACUUUAUCCUGCAAAAGUCUCGGUCUGAAUAAUAUGUACACUUGUUUGCUGAGAAAAUCAAAGAUAAACUCAUUUCAGGGUUUGGUCUGAAACUGACUCAGGAUCAGUUUCAGACCAAGCUUGACUCUAACAUGACUCUGCGCUCUUUUGCUGCAUCGUUUAGGUCUCUUGUUCACCAUUAAAUGCCCGGCUCUUAUCUGUGUACUGAUAAGGCCCUGUCAUACAGCACGGCGUUAGACUCAACUCCAACUGAAUGAUUGAGUUAAAUAUUUACAUUAAUAAAAGUAUCUUAAAAGACUGCACUCAUUACUGGUGUCCACUUUGUGCAAUGUAAUCUCUGCUGUUGUGCACAAUACCACAGGUUGCAGCUCUCUCUCACUCACUGGUGGUGCGCUCUCUCAGCUGAUUAUCUCAGAUAUUCAACAGAUUAAUGAAAGCUGUAACUAUGUCAUCAUUAUUCAAUUCAUCAUUUCUGAAUUAUUACACCAAACACACUUAUCAUAAUCUCCAUUGUGGUAUGGAUUUGGGAUUGGUGGCUGAGAUUAGGACACAAUACAAAGAAUCAUUUAGUGCAAUAUUAAAUAUGAUAUUCUAAUCUUUGGCCUGUUUGGAUUAUUUUGAAUUUCCGAUUUUCCAGAUGCUUCAUGAUGAAAAUGAAGGGCAGCAGAAAACAUCAUUUACCUGUAUUUGCUGGAAUUAAUGUAUCAACAAGGUUUCAAGUCGAUGGUCUAAACACAAAUAUAACUCGGUCUAUUAUCCUAUUACGGCCACUCAAAACCGGUAUGAUGCAGAGAGAGAGAUAAAGAACAGGCCGGGUCCAUCAGAGGACAUUAAACAGGGGCCAGCGAUGACUCUCUGCUUUCACACAGAGUACUGAGUACAGCAGGCUCAGAUCACUCAAGGUCUGCAGAAUUAUACAAAUAAAUUGCUACCAAACUCAUAUGCUGCUGUGUACAUAAUAUAACUGUGCCCGAAUCAAACACAAACAAAGUUAGAGGAAAGAUAAAUUAUUUUUUUGAUAAUUAAAACAAAAACAAUCAAAAUGUGAACCGAACUUGGCAUAUAAUACUCCAUGCACUCUUUCUCAGUGGUCUCAGCUAUCAGGAAUCAGUUUUAUAGUUUUUUUAAAUUAAGAGAAUCUCUUUUUUUAAUGUGGAAUUUGUGACACAUUUACAAAAGGACCUUACUGUAAAAAGAAAUCUGUUUCAAAGUGUUUCCUGCAGGUGAAGACUGACAUGUAACGAGCAAGUGUUUUCAUUUAAGCUGCGGCUGUAAAGAGGAUAGUCACAGAUGGAAAUGAGGGGGAAAAAUGCACAUUACAAAUAUCGCCUCAAGCUGCCACUUUAAAGACGCACGCUCAGCAUAAGGUAUUCACUUUGCAGAUAAAGGCGGUCUUUCCACUCAUAAUCAACGUAUACAGUAAUGCAUCAUUUUCUUCCAGAUAGCCAGAGAAGAAUUAGCUCAAAUUAUUUAAAGUUUUUGUUAAUUACUUUUGGGGCCUGAAGCUGUUCGUGCCUCAGAACUGCUGCAAAGUUUACAGCCACUCGGUCACAUUAGCUGACUUAUAAUUCAAGCACUUAUCACCCAACUCUAAAGCAGUGCUUUAUGAGGCAUCCAGCUCUUUAUCUGUAUGUACACCUCCAAUGUGAUCACAUGGUUAAAUGAUAUUUCUGCUAACACUCAUCCCUUAAAUUAAAAAAAGCAGUGGGCGUGCAUUUCUGUGGGCACAAUCUUACACUCCUGAUCUCAAUGGGGCAUUUAUGGAGGCUUUUAUAACUCUAAUUAUCUCAAGCCAUUACAGUAUAUCAACUUUUAGUGGUCCAUUGUAUACCCAAUAUGCAUCAACUGGACAGAUGCCUCAGUGGCACAGAAUAUUUAUCUCAAAUUAUAAGGCACAGAGGUUCAACUUCAGUUGAACGCAGUGCUUAAGGCUGACACAGUAAUGAACAGAGUGUACUAUUUUGUUUAAGUGUAACAUUGUUGCUGUGGAGCUGUGUUGCUUAUUAAUCAGUCACAGUGAGCCAGAGCAGCAUGAGGGUAGCCUUAGUGUCAAAAAGUGACACCAAGGUUUUAUCCUCCAUCUGUUACUCAGGGGUUACAUUUGCAUACAGAGUACACAAAGUACAGCAGAUUAAUGACACUAAUAAUACGAGCAUGGUGAUAUAAACUCAAAAACAAACAGGUAUAUAAGGACAGGGUUUUAGUUGGGAUAAAAAUGACAAUUCUGGAUAUUGGUAGUAUUUUAUCUUAUUUACCCCCUAAUAAGCAUUCAUCUGCAAUAUGUUUAGCACUUUUUAACUGGUUUUAUUUUCUCUUGAAUUUACAAAAUGCCACAAACAGGGCUUGACACUAACUUUUUUAAAGUAAAGAGCACACAAAGAACUUUAGGGGCACAAUGAAAAUU